rnacentral:rRNA from 1 species
CGGCUACCAUGCAGUCGAGCGCCCCGCAGGGGGAGCGGCAGACGGGUGAGUAACGCGUGGGAAUCUACCCAUCACUACGGAACAACUCCGGGAAACUGGAGCUAAUACCGUAUACGUCCUUCGGGAGAAAGAUUUAUCGGUGAUGGAUGAGCCCGCGUUGGAUUAGCUAGUUGGUGGGGUAAUGGCCUACCAAGGCGACGAUCCAUAGCUGGUCUGAGAGGAUGAUCAGCCACACUGGGACUGAGACACGGCCCAGACUCCUACGGGAGGCAGCAGUGGGGAAUAUUGGACAAUGGGCGCAAGCCUGAUCCAGCCAUGCCGCGUGAGUGAUGAAGGCCCUAGGGUUGUAAAGCUCUUUCAACGGUGAAGAUAAUGACGGUAACCGUAAAAAAAGCCCCGGCUAACUUCGUGCCAGCGCCCCGGGGAAAAUAAACGUAAAGU